rnacentral:tRNA from 1 species
GCCAUGGCUGAGUGGCAGAGCAUCUGCCUGAUUUGCAGAAGGUCUCAGGUUCAAUCCCUGGCAUUAGCA